GAGCCCUCGUAAGGCUGACUCGGUGCUUUUAAAGGUUAACACGGUAGGGUAGAGUAAAUCUCCAUAAAGCGAGAGAGGAGACAGUACAAACUCCUCUCUAGGUUCCUGUCUGGAGUCACCACU